CCGAAACAACGAGGAAACAUGACCGCGGGGAGAAGUUUUCGCCCCCCGCACUCGGUUUCGGCUGGAAGAACAUGUCAGUCGCCAUCAGCAGAAUAGUUGCCGUGCCUUCGCCGUACAUUCUCGCCGUGCUGCCCGGUUUGACCAGGGGACCGCGUGGCGUCUCGCCGUUGCAUUGGGUUGUUCUUUAUAAGCUUUACCUUUUCCCCCAUAUUGGCAUCUUCCAUGCCUACCCCUCCUGGCUGCCACUUGAAAAUCGUUGAUCCCAAUGGCUGACGCGAUCAGCGCCGCCGGUUCUUGCCUGCAGCCCCUCUGCGAAUGCCUGGAUGGCACAGGCAUGCUGGACGCGGCGGCCCGGGAGGUCGCCUCGUUCCUUCACCUCAAAUCCAACUGGUCCGAUCUCGACAAGGCCAAGAAGCUACUGCUGGCUGUCGAGACGACGGUGAGGGCGCGAGUCACCGCAGAGGUGGACAAGCUGAACAUCUGUGACCCUCAGGUGCAGGUCUGGCUGAGGCGUGUUGAAGAGCUACAACUGGAUGCCAUCGACGAGGACUACAGCCAGUUAAGGAAGUAUUCUUGCCUCGGCCAGUGCACCAUCCAUGCUCACCGGCGUGCAUCGAUCGGCAGGCGUGUUCUUGAGGCUCUAGAUGAGGCAAAUAAACUUAUUGAAGAAGGGAGGCGGUUCAAGAAAUUUGGAUUCAAGCCCCUUCCCAAGAUUGUUGAUCCAUUGCCUCAGAUCAAGACGUUUGGUUUGGAGACCAUGCUGAGUCAGCUCUAUGAUCUGUUUGAGAAGGGCGACUCGAACAUAAUUGGUGUGUGGGGUCAAGGAGGUGUUGGCAAGACGACGCUUCUACAUGUUUUCAACAAUGAUCUUGAAAAGAAGGCCCAUGAUUAUCAGGUUGUUAUCUUUAUUGAAGUAUCCAAUUCAGAGGCGCUGAACACAGUGGAGAUACAACAGACUAUCUCUGAAAGGCUCAACUUGCCAUGGAAUGAUGCAGAGCCAAUUGCCAAACGGGCCAGAUUCUUGAUAAAGGCACUUGGUAGGAAAAGAUUUGUAAUCCUGCUUGAUGAUGUAAGGAAGAAAUUCUGUCUGGAGGAUGUUGGUAUCCCAACUCCAGAUAUCAACAGUCAGAGCAAGCUGAUCCUCACAUCACGUUACCGAGAAGUAUGCUUCCAGAUGAAUGCACAAAGAAGCUUGAUUGAGAUGCAGAUUUUGGGUAAUGAUGCUUCAUGGGAACUGUUCUUGAGCAAGCUGAGCACGGAAACUAGUGCAGCAGUUGAACCCCUUGGUUCCCAGAGUGCUACUAGAGAGCACGCUAUGAAAAUAGCCCAAAGUUGUGGAGGCUUACCACUUGCACUCAAUGUCAUUGGGACUGCUGUGGCAGGCUUGGAAGAGGGAGAGUGGCAAUCAGCUGCGGAUGCAAUUGCUACCAAUAUGGACAAUAUUGAUGGUGUGGAUGAAAUGUUUGGUCGGUUGAAGUACAGCUUUGACAGGCUCACACCCACUCAACAACAGUGUUUCCUAUACUGCACACUUUUUCCAGAAUAUGGAUCCAUUAGUAAAGAGCAACUUAUUGGUUAUUGGUUAGCUGAAGGUUUGCUAUUAAAUGAUUCUGAAAAGGGUUAUCAGAUAAUCCGCAGUCUUGUUUCAGCUUGCUUGUUGCAGGUCAGUGGCUCAAUGUCUUCAAAGGUAAAAAUGCACCAUGUAAUUAGGCAACUGGGGCUAUGGUUGGUCAACAAGUCAGAUACAAAGUUUCUUGUUCAACCAGGGAUGGCCUUGGAUAAUGCUCCAUCAGCUGAAGAAUGGAAUGAAGCUACAAGGAUCUCCAUCAUGUCUAAUAACAUCACCGAGCUUUCUUUCUCACCAAAGUGCAAAAAUGUCACCACUCUGUUGAUGCAGAACAACCCAAAUUUGAACAAGAUGAGCUAUGGAUUUUUCAGAACUAUGUCAUCCUUGAAAGUUCUGGAUCUUUCUCAUACUGCAAUAACAUCACUUCCAGAAUGUGAUGCAUUGGUUGCACUGGAGCAUCUGAAUUUGUCUCACACACACAUUAUGAGAUUACCUGAGCGCCUAUGGUUACUGAAAGAGUUGAGGCAUUUGGAUCUGAGUGUGACUGUUGCACUUGAAGAUACCAUGAACAACUGCUCAAAGUUGCACAAGUUGAAAGUGCUCAAUCUCUUCCGCAGCCACUAUGGUAUCCGUGAUGUUGACAACCUGAAUCUGGAUUCUCUGAAGGAACUACUGUUCCUUGGAAUCACUAUUUAUGCAGAGGAUGUGCUAAAGAAAUUGAACAUGCCUCGUCCUUUGGCAAAGUCAACACAUCGCUUAAACUUGAAGUAUUGUGCAGAGAUGCAAUCAAUCAAAAUCUCUGACCUCAGCCACAUGGAGCACCUUGAGGAGUUGUAUGUUGAAUCAUGCUAUGACCUGAACACAGUGGUUGCUGAUGCUGAGCUUACAACUUCACAGUUGCAGUUCCUGACCCUGUCAGUUCUUCCCUCGUUGGAAAGUGUCCUUGUUGCACCAAUGUCCCAUAAUUUUCAGUACAUCCGCAAAUUGAUCAUUUCACACUGCCCCAAGUUGUCGAACAUCACAUGGGUCCGAAGGCUUCAGCUUCUUGAGAGGCUUGUCAUAUCUCAUUGUGAUGGGGUGCUCGAAAUUGUUGAAGAUGAGGAGCAGUAUGGAGAACAAAUGAAAAUGCAGGACCAUGCUUCAUAUGAACAAGAAGAGCAUGCUAUGGUAGAAACUUCACGGAAUGACACAGGGCAGAGUGACUUCCCAAAGUUGAGAUUGAUCGUAUUGACGGGACUUAAGAAGCUGAGAAGUAUUUGUAAAGCAAGAGAAUUCCCAUGCCUUGAGACCCUUCGGGUGGAGGAUUGCCCAAAUCUGAGAAGCAUCCCGCUAAGCUGCACGCAUAACUAUUGGAAACUGAAGCAGAUAUGUGGUUCAGUUGAAUGGUGGGAGAAACUGCAGUGGGAAAAUAGGAAGGAGGUGGCAUGUCUGGACAGCAAGUACUUCAUUCCAAUCUGACACAACCCCAAUUUCAAUGGCUUUUGCAUGGCACGCAGGUGGCUUAGUUCUGUCUUCAGUCUUCACACAAAUAAGAGGUCUCCUCUUAAAUUGUUUAAAAUUUGUAUAUGUGACAGGCAUAGCUUCUGUACAUUGUUAGUAUUGUAUUCAUGUAUAGAAUAUGAUAUACUCUGUAAUUUUCUGGUAUUGCAUUCGUGUAAUAUGAAUUGUUCAUUUAAAUCAUAGUCCAAUAAGGCUCUGUGACUUUCUGUCCUAUCAAUUGUGCAGUACCUCCACAAAAAAGUUUCAGGGCAUUAUUAACUCAGUUACAUGUAAUUACACCUUCUCAAGAUUUACAGGCCAAACCUUGCUCUGGCAUGAACAUCAGGCAUGGCAUUGGAUGCACCACUUUGUUACAAUAGAGUGAUUGACUGAUGUGAUGAUAUCAGGAGAAAUGUUUCACUGAUGGGAUUGUACCCGAAGUAAAAGAUGCCUUGAACAUUUCUAGUAUGUACAGAUUCACUGAGAAGGCUUGUGAAGUGCCUCCGAAAGGGAAAGGCAUUGGGAUUGGCAAAUGAUCUGAGUUCUAGUAGCAGAAGCAAACACUACAACAGGCUGCUAUUUCUUAUCUGGUAGGGGUAUCUCCUGCCUCUUGCUAGAAUAAGGUACUGCAUUAUCCCAAUUUCCGUUCCUGCUCUGUUUUGAAUUCAGAAACAGCAUACUUUAUAAUUUUACUUAGUAUAGUCGAAC
rnacentral:rRNA from 1 species